rnacentral:rRNA from 1 species
UACGGAGGGAGCUAGCGUUAUUCGGAAUUACUGGGCGUAAAGCGCACGUAGGCGGCUUUGUAAGUUAGAGGCGAAAGCCUGGAGCUCAACUCCAGAAUUGCCUUUAAGACUGCAUCGCUUGAAUCCAGGAGAGGUGAGUGGAAUUCCGAGUGUAGAGGUGAAAUUCGUAGAUAUUCGGAAGAACACCAGUGGCGAAGGCGGCUCACUGGACUGGUAUUGACGCUGAGGUGCGAAAGCGUGGGGAGCAAACAGG